rnacentral:rRNA from 1 species
UAGGGAAUCUUCGGCAAUGGGGGCAACCCUGACCGAGCAACGCCGCGUGAGUGAAGAAGGUUUUCGGAUCGUAAAGCUCUGUUGUAAGAGAAGAACGAGUGUGAGAGUGGAAAGUUCACACUGUGACGGUAACUUACCAGAAAGGGACGGCUAACUACGUGCCAGCAGCCGCGGUAAUACGUAGGUCCCGAGCGUUAUCCGGAUUUAUUGGGCGUAAAGCGAGCGCAGGCGGUUAGAUAAGUCUGAAGUUAAAGGCUGUGGCUUAACCAUAGUACGCUUUGGAAACUGUUUAACUUGAGUGCAGAAGGGGAGAGUGGAAUUCCUAGUGUAGCGGUGAAAUGCGUAGAGAUUAGGAGGAACACCAGUGGCGAAGGCGGCUUUUUGGCCUGUAACUGACACUGAGGCGCGAAAGCGUGGGGAGCAAACAGGAUUAGAUACCCUGGUAGUCCACGCCGUAAACGAUGAGUGCUAAGUGUUGGUCUCAUAAGAGAUCAGUGCUGCAGCUAACGCAUUAAGCACUCCGCCUGGGGAGUACGACCGCAAGGUU